rnacentral:rRNA from 1 species
AUUGAACGCUGGCGGCAGGCCUAACACAUGCAAGUCGAACGAGUGGCGGACGGGUGAGUAAUGUCUGGGAAACUGCCUGAUGGAGGGGGAUAACUACUGGAAACGGUAGCUAAUACCGCAUACCAUCGGAUAUGCCCAGUUGGGAUUAGGUAAUAGGUGGGGUAAAGGCUCACCUAGGCGACGAUCCCUAGCUGGUGUGGGAGGAUAACAAUCCCCCCUGGAACUGUGACACGGUCCACACUCCUCCCUCCUUCCCCCUUCUCUCCUAUUUCAACCUUUCCGCAAGCCUGAUCCAGCCAUGCCGCGUGUAUGAAUAUCUACUUCCGUUUUUCACGUACUUUAAGCUGGGAGGCGUUACCAGCAGAAGAAGCACCGGCUAACUCCGUGCCAGCAGCCGCGGUAAUUC